rnacentral:rRNA from 1 species
UACUCGCGAAUGCAUCNNAGAUUAUNNUUUGAUCAUGGCUCAGAUUGAACGCUGGCGGCAGGCCUAACACAUGCAAGUCGAGCGGAUGAGUGGAGCUUGCUCCAUGAUUCAGCGGCGGACGGGUGAGUAAUGCCUAGGAAUCUGCCUGGUAGUGGGGGACAACGUUUCGAAAGGAACGCUAAUACCGCAUACGUCCUACGGGAGAAAGCAGGGGACCUUCGGGCCUUGCGCUAUCAGAUGAGCCUAGGUCGGAUUAGCUAGUUGGUGGGGUAAAGGCCUACCAAGGCGACGAUCCGUAACUGGUCUGAGAGGAUGAUCAGUCACACUGGAACUGAGACACGGUCCAGACUCCUACGGGAGGCAGCAGUGGGGAAUAUUGGACAAUGGGCGAAAGCCUGAUCCAGCCAUGCCGCGUGUGUGAAGAAGGUCUUCGGAUUGUAACAGCACUUUNAGUUGGGAGGANCNGGGCAGUAAGUUAAUACCUUGCUGUUUGACGUUAC